UACCUCUUUUUGUCCGUGUCUUAUGUAGACAGAUCAUGUGUUUUGUUUUAAAUUCAGACAAGAAACAGAAUUCUCUUAGUUUCUUCUUCUUCUUCUUCCUCGU
rnacentral:sRNA from 1 species